rnacentral:rRNA from 1 species
CCCGCUGAACUUAAGCAUAUCAAUAAGCGGAGGAAAAGAAACUAACAAGGAUUCCCUUAGUAACUGCGAGUGAAGAGGGAAAAGCUCAAAUUUAAAAUCUGGCAGUGUUUCACUGUCCGAGUUGUAACCUAGAGAAGUGUAACCUGCGCUGGACCGUGUAUAAGUCUCCUGGAAUGGAGCAUCACAGAGGGUGAGAAUCCCGUCUUUGACAUGGACCACCAGUGCAUUGUGGUUGUGCUCUCAACGAGUCGAGUUGUUUGGGAAUGCAGCUCUAAACGGGUGGUAAAUUCCAUCUAAAGCUAAAUAUUGGCGAGAGACCGAUAGCGAACAAGUACCGUGAGGGAAAGAUGAAAAGAACUUUGGAAAGAGAGUUAAACAGUAUGUGAAAUUGUUGAAAGGGAAACGUUUGAAGUCAGUCGCGUUGGUUGGGGAUCAGCCUGACAUUGUUGGGUUUACUUCCUGGUCGACGGGCCAACAUCAGUUUUGACUGCCAGAAAAAGGCCAAAGGAAUGUGGCACCUUUGGGUGUGUUAUAGCCAUUGGUCGUAUAUGGUGGUUGGGACUGAGGAAAGCAGCGUGCCGAAAGGCCGGGUUUUUAACCACGUACGUGCUUAGGAUGCUGGCAUAAUGGCUUUAAUCGACCCGUCUUGAAACACGG